rnacentral:rRNA from 1 species
AUUGAACGCUGGCGGCACGCCUUACACAUGCAAGUCGAACGGCAGCACGGGAGCAAUCCUGGUGGCGAGUGGCGAACGGGUGAGUAAAGUAUCGGGACGUGCCCAGUCGUGGGGGAUAACGUAGCGAAAGUUACGCUAAUACCGCAUACGAUCUAUGGAUGAAAGCGGGGGAUCGCAAGACCUCGCGCGAUUGGAGCUGCCGAUAUCAGAUUAGGUAGUUGGGGGGGUAAAGGCUCACCAAGCCGACGAUCUGUAGCUGGUCUGAGAGGACGACCAGCCACACUGGGACUGAGACACGGCCCAGACUCCUACGGGAGGCAGCAGUGGGGAAUUUUGGACAAUGGGCGAAAGCCUGAUCCAGCCAUGCCGCGUGCAGGAUGAAGGCCUUCGGGUUGUAAACUGCUUUUGUACGGAACGAAAAGGUUUGGCCUAAUAAGCUGAGCUCAUGACGGUACCGUAAGAAUAAGCACCGGCUAACUACGUGCCAGCAGCAGCCGCAG